GUAAAAUCCGUCGCUAUUCCGUCGUUAAAUGUAAAAAACAAAAGAUAUCUCCUAGCUAGGUUACGCAUUCUUUCAUUUCCAACACAGUAGCCAACACGGAUAGAGAGAUAGACUGUGCGAAAUUGGUAACAUAGAGAGAGAGAGCACAACAUAGAUCAAAAUAAUGUGAAUCUAGGGUUUACAUUGUGUUUUUCUCUUCUUCUACUGCAAUUUUUAUCUAAAGGAAAGAUACGUAGUGGACAGCUGGUCAGAAUUCAUUGACGUGCUACUCAUUGAAGGUUCUGCAUUUUAGCUGUUGUUGUUGAGAUAUGGCUCGAGGCAGAGGUCGAGGUAGCGGAGGUCGUGUAGGAAAGUCCUCAUUAAGGUGUGAUUCUACUGGUCGUGCAAACAUGCCUACCAUUCCCAUUCCCACCACAGUUAGUCCUCAACAAGGUGGUACGAGUUCCAUAGGUGGGCCAGAUCCUAUAAACCAAGUUCAAACUUUACGUACGCCACCGGUUCAAGCCUCGUAUAUCGCUCGAGGAAAAGGUCGAGGUAGUCCUCAACAAGGUGGUACGAGUUCCAUAGGUGGGCCGUAUUCUAUAAACCAUGUUCAAACUUUAGGUACGCCACCGGUUCAAGCGUCGAUCACGGUAGUAACCCAAC